rnacentral:rRNA from 1 species
UACGGGGGGGGCAAGCGUUGUUCGGAAUUACUGGGCGUAAAGGGCUCGUAGGCGGCCAACUAAGUCAGACGUGAAAUCCCUCGGCUUAACCGGGGAACUGCGUCUGAUACUGGAUGGCUUGAGUUUGGGAGAGGGUCGCGGAAUUCCCGGUGUAGAGGUGAAAUUCGUAGAUAUCGGGAGGAACACCAGUGGCGAAGGCGGCGAUCUGGGAAGAUACUGACGCUGAGGUGCGAAAGCGUGGGGAGCAAACAGG